CUCCAAGGGCUUUCGCGACUCAAGUUAAAGUUCACAGUCAAACCCACCAUGAUCGCUGGAUGGAUUAGAAAGUAUCAUCUGCUGGUAAAUCGAGAAACAAUAAAUAAAGCUGAUCAAACGGCCGCUUUGCCUUUGUUCGUUCGCCAAAAUAGCGCUUUCUAAUCAUGUGUCACAUGCGGACCGGAUGUAGAACGGAGUCAGCAUCGUAAUUGUCAUCUCGGACUGGACCGAAAACCGGACGUAACUUUUCGUACCGAUGUCGAUCGCUAGUUUGGAUGAUGAAUUAUUUCAGCAAACCAUCAAAAACCAAGCA